rnacentral:rRNA from 1 species
CAGCAGCCGCGGUAAUACGAAGGGUGCAAGCGUUAAUCGGAAUUACUGGGCGUAAAGCGUGCGUAGGCGGUUUGUUAAGUCUGUUGUGAAAUCCCCGGGCUCAACCUGGGAAUGGCAAUGGAUACUGGCAAGCUAGAGUGUGUCAGAGGAUGGUGGAAUUCCCGGUGUAGCGGUGAAAUGCGUAGAGAUCGGGAGGAACAUCAGUGGCGAAGGCGGCCAUCUGGGACAACACUGACGCUGAGGCACGAAAGCGUGGGGAGCAAACAGGAUUAGAUACCCGCGUAGUCCCUGUCUCUUAUAC